rnacentral:rRNA from 1 species
AACGAACGCUGGCGGCGUGCCUAACACAUGCAAGUCGUGCGAGAAAGUUCCUUCGGGAGCGAGUAAAGCGGCGCACGGGUGAGUAACACGUAGGUAACCUGCCCCCCAGUCUGGAACAACUAGAGGAAACUCUAGCUAAUGCCGGAUGAGACCACGAUCCCUUCGGGGGUUGCGGCCAAAGAUGGCCUCUACUUGUAAGCUAUCGCUGAGGGAUAGGCCUGCGGGCCAUUAGCUUGUUGGUGAGGUAACGGCUCACCAAGGCUGUGAUGGCUAGCUGGUCUGAGAGGAUGACCAGCCACACUGGGACUGAGACACGGCCCAGACUCCUACGGGAGGCAGCAGUGGGGAAUAUUGCGCAAUGGGCGAAAGCCUGACGCAGCGACGCCGCGUGGGUGAUGAAGGCCUGGUC